CUUUAUUUCAGUUUUUAGUCAUCGAAUUUUUAUUGAGCUUUUUGGUAAAAAACAUAUAAAACAUGUUGUGAGUAAUUGUUUUUCUGUUUUUAUAAACACUUCGUAUUGAGCAAGAAUAAGGAAUUAGUCAGGAUAUACUUUGCAUGACUUCCUGUACAACCCCCAUGUUAUUCCUAAAACAUUUAUCAUGUUUUUUGUCACAAGACGUAUCAUGCGCUCGUGACGCAGCUGUUUAUUAAGAUUCAUAUCGUGUUUAAGAAAAUAAUUCAUCAUAUGUAAGAUGAUGAACAUUUUGUACGUUAGACGCGCAUUUCGGCCGUAACAUUCUAACAAGUUAGCCUAAAAUACAAAACGUUAUCAACCCAUAUAAAAAAUAGGUUGAAGAUAUUGAAUAUUCAUCAUUCUUAUGUUUUAUUUAUUUUAAUUUUUAAUUGUAUUUCUCAUCUUUCCUUGUCGUAAAGAGAAUGGGUGUAUUCUAUUUGCGUCGAUUUCUUAAAUUUUCAAUCUUUCAUUUGCGCCGAUUGUGUACAGGUCAAUUUCAGGUUAAUGUUAUUUGUUAUUAUCAUUAUAAACCUCUUCUGUAAGCCAGUUGUACAUAUGUUAUGAAUUGUCAAAUAUAAUUGUUGUUCCCUGCAUUCCACAUUCCAAACUAAAAGACAAAUUAAAAGGGUUGGUAUUGCUUCGUUUCAUAAAAAAAAAUGGCCAACGUAGAUACAACUAUCUUGUCUUAGGGAGGGAUAAAUCCUACUUUAUAAAGGAUCACUCUGAUUCAAACAAAAAAUUCUCGGAAACUGACAUUAUCAAGAUGCUUGAUUUUUUUCUUGACAGCAUAUUUGUUACGUUCGGAUGACGUUUUUUUCGACAGACUACCGGCAUUUAAAUGGGUACCAUUUGCGCAUGUUUCCUUGUCGACUUGUUUCUUUAUUAUUAUGAGGCUGACUUCAUACAGGAAAUUCUUAAGAAGAAAGAUAAGAAGUUAGCAAUGUCUUUUAACUAUACUUUCCGCUAUAUAGAUGACGUUCUUUCACUAGAUAAUUAAAAAUGUGUUGACUAUGUUGAACGCAUCUAUCCCAUCGAACUAGAGUAAAGGAUACAACAGAUACAGUUAAGUCGGCCUCAUAUCUUGACUUACAUCUAAAAAUUGACAAUGAAAGUCGGUUGAAAACAAAACUUUACGACAAAAGAGAUGAUUUCAGCUUUCCAAUUGUGAACUUUCUAUUUCUAAGUAGCAACAUUCCAGCAGCACCCCUUCGUAAAUUUUACGGACACCAUCACGAGUUAGUUAACCGUUUCACAAAUUAUAUCGGAUAUAUUCCUUACGUCGGAACUACAAUUUUCUUCCCUUUCAUUAAUGUGACCUACCGAAUUAGAAUAUUUACCAGAUUUGUAAUAACAUAAGCAACACGACGGAAGUCACAUGUGGAGCAGGAUCUCCUUACCCUUCCAGAGCACCUGAGAUCACCCCUAGUUUUUGAUGGGGUUCGUGUUGCUUAUUCUUAAGUUUUCUAAGUCACCCAUGAAAUCGAGGUCUGCUUCACGUUUAUUAUUUUGUCUGAAGCUCCGUCUGACGACACAUUUCAUGCAUUCUAGGAUGUUGUACUUAUAUAUGCUCUACUUGACGUUAUCUGUCUCAUUGUUAGUCAGCAGCACGCGUUGAAAACUGAAAGAGGACGAAUAACGGUCCAGAUUUAAGUGGUUGUACACAAAGUGCCUUUAGUGUCUCAUAAGUCAGUAUUUAUGGCUGGAUAUUGAUUGUUUUAUGUGUAAAUAUUAUAAUUGUUGUAUAUGUUUUAUGGCAAUCAAUAUGUGACACUUUAAUAAACAAAUUUAUAUAUUAUAUAUCUUCUAAAUAGACUAAUCCUUCCCAGAAGCCUACUUUCACAGUCCCGUGGUGAGUAGGAUACAGCAGUUAUAUACAUGCUAUGAUUGACAAUUCAUGAAUAUAAACUGGCAAAAGGAAGAAGUUUAAUUUAUAAUGACCAAAACGCACCUGUAAUUUACAUGUACACAAUCGGUGCAAAUGAGCACAAAUGAAAUGCAAAUCGGCGCCAAUAGAAAAUGCCGAAGUAAGUCAAUACGAAAAAGUAAAGUUCAUGUUAUGUGAUAAGAUUGGACUUUAACAAAAUAUUAUUUAAGCUUUGUCAAAAUUUGAAAUAAACUUUAUCAACAUAUUCAAUGUUUUAUGUGACACUUUGGUACACGAUGAAGAUGGUACAUGGCAAGUUAAAUUUGAAAUUGGAUAUCUAAGGGACAUCUAACUUUCAU
rnacentral:lncRNA from 1 species